rfam:Colletotrichum tofieldiae strain 0861 Ct_v4_contig199, whole genome shotgun sequence.
ACAUACGACCAUACCCACUGGAGAACUCGGGAUCCCGUCCGCUCUCCCAUCGAUAAGCCAGUGAGGGCCGGAUUAGUAGUUGGGUCGGUGACGACCAGCGAAUACCUGGUGUUGUAUGUU